GCCCCCUAUCCAGUAUACUGGAUAUGACCCUCGGCUUAUAACCGAGUGGGCUCGAGUUCGAGUCCCGAAUAAGGCU
rnacentral:tRNA from 1 species